CAGUUCCUAACAGGCCUCAGACCAGUACCGGUCUGUGGCCUGGGGGUUGAGGACCCCUGCUCUAGGCUGGUACUGCUGAUGCUUAAAAAGAGAG
ensembl:miRNA MIR645 microRNA 645